rnacentral:rRNA from 1 species
UACGUAGGGGGCUAGCGUUGUCCGGAAUCAUUGGGCGUAAAGAGCGUGUAGGCGGCCCGGUAAGUCCGCUGUGAAAGUCGGGGGCUCAACCCUCGAAUGCCGGUGGAUACUGUCGGGCUUGAGUACGGAAGAGGCGAGUGGAAUUCCUGGUGUAGCGGUGAAAUGCGCAGAUAUCAGGAGGAACACCAAUUGCGAAGGCAGCUCGCUGGGACGUUACUGACGCUGGAGACGCGAAAGCGUGGGGAGCAAACAGG